rnacentral:lncRNA from 1 species
CAGCAUCAAGUCAGAACCAGUGUCCCCAAGUCGUGAACGCAGCCCUGCACCUCCUCCACCAGCUGUGUUCCCAGCUGCCCGCCCUGAGCCUGGCGAAGGUCUCAGCAGCCCAGCUGGAGGAUCCUAUGAGACCGGGGACCGGGAUGAUGGACGGGGGGACUUUGGGCCCACACUAGGCCUGCUGCGCCCAGCCCCAGAGCCUGAGGCUGAGGGCUCAGCUGUGAAGAGGAUGCGGCUGGAUACUUGGGUACUGUAACAUUGCCCUUCUGUCUGCCGGUGUCUGCGUCACCCAGGGAUGCCCCACAUGCACAUGCCUGUUUUCUUUCCCACCUGAGGCCUUGUGGCCAGGCAUUUCUUUUGGGUCAGUACUCACAGCCCUCGACCCCCUCCUUGCAGCAUUGUUCCCUGCUCAGUGACCUCCAGCUAGCCUCACCCUAGAGUGUGACCCCUGGGGAGAGGGGUGGGUGCAUCCUAUAGGCCACACUGCCCCUCACACCACCUUCUCCAUCUCCUUUCUUCACAGACAUUAAAGUGAUGGUUCCCACUCCCAUCUCUCAGCCUCCCUGAUGAAGAGUUGACAAUCUCACCGCCCACCCCUCCCUGUCCUGGGCUCCUCCCGCUCGACCCCACUUCCUUUCUUCUGCUCCAUGUCCUGUUGAUGGUUACAUUUGUGUAUAAUUAUAUUAUUAUUAUUAUUAUUGUUAUUAUUAUUAUAUUUUUAAAUUCAAAUUCUCGCUUUAGAGAGAGGGAUGCUCUUGCCCCUUUCUUGCUCCCACCAUUUUCACUGAUGGGGGACUCUCUUUAUUGCGGGAAAGGGGGGACACUUUGCACGUUGUACACAUAUGCUGCAGGAAGGGGGGGAGGCGGUAGGCCUUGGAGAAGGACAG